AAAAAAAAAAAAAAAAAAAAAAAAAAGAAGAAUAGAUAGAGACCUGAGAAUUGAGUCUGGGGCUUCCAGCAUUUCCAGAUCAGUGAAACGAGAAAGCAGUGAAGGAAAGACAGGAGGCUGCAACUGACAACAUAUGGGCUCUGAACAGAGGAGCUGGCCCAAAUGAGAGAUCUUUCAAUUGGCCGUAGACACGUGGAUUGUGAUGAACCCUGUUGUGCAAGCCUGAGGAAGCCUUGCUGUGGUCUACAACCCUUGGAAACAAAUUCUCUCCAGCCAAGGAGGGAGCGGAGUGCAAGUAACCUGCUGGUGUGGGAAUUUCCAGAUUUUGGUGCCUGAGUAAUUGCUACCUUGGCC
rnacentral:lncRNA from 1 species